CACAUCCAAGAAAAAAACCAAAAAGCUUAUUCAACUCUGUGUUUCUUCCCAACUGAAGCCAAGCCAGUUCUUGUUUGUUCUUCGUCUUAAAACUCUCAAAUGGAUGAAAGGGGUCCAAAAUCAAAGAACCCAGAACCAGGAAACCAAGGAAAUGAUGAGAAAAAGAGCAAAAAGGGAUUGCGACUAUUAGCUCGAGUUAAACCAUCUGAGAUUUUCUUGAAAUCUAUAACCAAGGAUGUUACCAAUGUUCAGAUUACAUACCUUGUAGGUGCUUUUUCUUGUUCCUUACUAAUGCAACAUAUUCUGUUUUUUAUAUCUCACAAAAGUAACAUUCCAGACACUAUUUUACAGUUGUCUAGUGUCUGAAAAUAUGGAUAUUUGCAGGGAUUGAACUAUGUUGGUUCAAUGUGCUUUUCAGAUUACGCAUUUGUUCUUGUUGCUUCUAACGUUUUGCAAUUUAAAUGCAUGGCUUGUGCGGCGAAGAUUACGACAUACAGCCUUGAGGGAAGUGAGAAGCUCCUUCAGCUAGUCUCAAAUUACUCCAUGGUUUCAAACUUGAAGGAUAAUGAAUCUGAAGUAUGGAACCAAUGAUUCUUCAUGUCACCAAUAGGAGCUGCGACAAUAUAUUUUUUGAUGUAUUUAGUUGGCUUGCAGUUUAUGGCUAUAUAGUAGAAGAGAUAAGCAUAAAGAAAUGGUCGAUCACCCACACUAAUUUCCUGUCCUGAACAGUCUUCUUCAUCCGUUAGUAGCCAUUGUUUUGACAAUCAUGGUAUAAGAGGAUCACCCACAUCAACAGUCAUUGGACCUUCCAAGCAUCGGCAUUCAACUCUCGGGGAUCCCAAUUUUGUGGAGAAUAACUUCAAGGUAUUGAAUAGAUUAAAGAUUUCCUUUUCUCACAUUGUUGUGCGAUAUUUGAUUAGUUCUCUAUAAUCCUUUGCGAUAUUUGCUUCAAGCCAAUUGUUCUGCCCCCC